UGGGGAAUAUUGGACAAUGGGGGGCAACCCUGAUCCAGCCAUGCCGCGUGAGUGAUGAAGGCCUUCGGGUUGUAAAGCUCUUUUGGCGGGGACGAUGAUGACGGUACCCGCAGAAUAAGCCCCGGCUAACUUCGUGCCAGCAGCCGCGGUAAGACGAAGGGGGCUAGCGUUGUUCGGAAUUACUGGGCGUAAAGCGAGUGUAGGCGGUUGCCGUAGUCAGGUGUGAAAGCCUUGAGCUCAACUCAAGAAAUGCACUUGAUACUGGGUGACUAGAGGACCGGAGAGGAUAGUGGAAUUCCCAGUGUAGUGGUGAAAUACGUAGAGAUUGGGAAGAACACCAGUGGCGAAGGCGGCUAUCUGGACGGUUACUGACGCUAAGACUCGAAAGCGUGGGGAGCAAACAGGAUUAGAUACCCUGGUAGUCCACGCCGUAAACGAUGGGUGCUAGACGUUGGCGAGCUUGCUCGUCAGUGUCGCAGCUAACGCGUUAAGCA
rnacentral:rRNA from 1 species